AUAACAGGUCUGUGAUGCCCUUAGAUGUCCGGGGCUGCACGCGCGCUACACUGACUGGCUCAGCGUGUGCCUACCCUACGCCGGCAGGCGCGGGUAACCCGUUGAACCCCAUUCGUGAUGGGGAUCGGGGAUUGCAAUUAUUCCCCAUGAACGAGGAAUUCCCAGUAAGUGCGGGUCAUAAGCUUGCGUUGAUUAAGUCCCUGCCCUUUGUACACACCGCCCGUCGCA
rnacentral:rRNA from 1 species